rnacentral:miRNA from 1 species
UCUACCAAAAAUAUCUGGGCAUGGUGUACAUGUCUGUAGUCCCAGCUACUGGGGAGGCUGAGGCAGGAGGAU